rnacentral:misc_RNA from 1 species
UCUCCGUUGGUGAACCAGCGGAGGGAUCAUUACCGAGUUAUUCUACUCCCAGACCCCUGUGAACUUGUACCAUUACUGUUGCUUCGGCGGGUUGACGCCCCGGAAGGCCAGCGAGAGCCGCCGGAAACACGCUCCCGCCGGGGGACCUAAACUCUUGUAUCUUUUUUAUAGCAUGUCUGAGUGGAUUCAUAAACAAAUGAAUCAAAACUUUCAACAACGGAUCUCUUGGUUCUG